GACGAACGCUGGCGGCGUGCUUAACACAUGCAAGUCGAACGGAAAGGCCCUUUCGGGGGUACUCGAGUGGCGAACGGGUGAGUAACACGUGGGUGAUCUGCCCUGCACUUUGGGAUAAGCCUGGGAAACUGGGUCUAAUACCGAAUACACCUUGCUGGUUGCAUGACUGGUGGGGGAAAGCUUUUGCGGUGUGGGAUGGGCCCGCGGCCUAUCAGCUUGUUGGUGGGGUGAUGGCCUACCAAGGCGACGACGGGUAGCCGGCCUGAGAGGGUGUCCGGCCACACUGGGACUGAGAUACGGCCCAGACUCCUACGGGAGGCAGCAGUGGGGAAUAUUGCACAAUGGGCGCAAGCCUGAUGCAGCGACGCCGCGUGAGGGAUGACGGCCUCGGGUUGUAACCGUCUUUCAGUAUCGACGAAGCGCAAGUGACGGUAGGUACAGAAGAAGCA
rnacentral:rRNA from 1 species